rnacentral:rRNA from 2 species
UGCAGGGCUGUCGAUAACUCGCGGCGUGAGAUGUUUGGUUAAAUCCCUAACGAGGGCAACCCUGUUCCCUAGUGGCAGCACUUCAUGGUGGGCACUCGGGAAGCCCUGCCGGAAACAAACCGGAGGAAUUUGGGGAUGACGUCCAGUCAUUUUGGACCUCACGGCCAAGGCUACACACGUGCUACAAUGGGGGAUACAAAGGGUUGCCAAGCCGCGAGGUGGAGCCAAUCCCAUAAAGUCUCUCGUACUCCCGAUUCGAGUCUGCAACUCGACUCCAUGAAGUCGGAAUCGCUAGUAAUCGUGGAUCAGAAUGCCACGAA